UUCCGUUCGCGUGAAACGCGAGCGGCGAAUCGAUCCGCGACUGCGGCGGCGGCUCUUUUUCCAAGACCAACUGCAAAACUGGAUUUGUAAUACAGACUGCGCAGCAAACGCGUCUCGGUGAUUAACGAUGGUCGAGAUGCGGCGUCGCCUUGCAUCGUACUUUUCCGCCGUUCAACGUCAGAUGUCUUGCAGUCUUCCAGUGCGACGACAUUCACAGAAUUUCUUUAGAUUUUCAACGAUGGAUUUCAUCAGACGGAGUUCGCAGUUUCAAGGACCGAGAGCCGUCCUCGUUCCUGACGACUUGGAGAGCCGGAAAAGGGACAGCGACACUGCGACGGCAACUGGAUUCGCUGCUUUCCACAUUUUUGUGUCAUGCUUUUAACGCGUGCUUUCACAUGCCCUCUCGACUGUAAGCUCGCGCCUCGUUAUAUUUCGAGCAUGCUCUAUGUUUAGAUCGGCUGCUCCUACAUCGCGCUUUCCUUCUUUCUCCUGCGAGCGCGAGUCCUCUCGUCUCCCUGCGGCGGUUUUCUCCUUCUCUUUCUCUCCGCUUUCUUUUGCUACGCCCUUCCUAGGGCCAGGGAUGAAGGAGAGGGUGCUUCAUGAGCACGCAGACCUCGAAAAAAAAUUCGUGCGGUUAUUUAUAGAUGAUACUUUUGCAGGAAUAUGCGCAGCGUUAUCGCGCAAUCAUCAAUGAUAAAUUCUCUAAGAGAAUCAUAAAGUCAACUCUUAAUGAAAUAUUUUUCAACACCGUGACUGAAAAAAUUAUGAUUUUUAUGUACAGAUAAAAAAUUGAAUAUUUUAUUUAUUGGAUAUUUUAUUUGAUUCAGAAUGGAUUCAGCAGUUUCUUCACUUAAGAAUCGCUCACAAAGCAAUAUUUGGUAUCGGUUGUUUGUGCGCUUGUUUGCUGCUCCGCCCACCUUACCUUUUAUCUUUACAUCUCAUAUCGUAUUUUUCGAUUCCAUAUUUCACGUUUAUGUGAGUUAUGUGCCUGUUAGGAGUUCCCCUCUUCAACGGGCUCACAAUAUCUUGUCCUUUCGCCGAGUUGUGGAAGUUGUACUUUCCGCUGUUUGUCUUCCGCAGAGAUGUUUCUACUCCGAAGUAGAUUCCGCUCUCUUUCUUCCUCUCUCUCUCUCUCUCUCUCUCUCUUUUCUUUUAUAUUAUGUUUGCUGUAUAUGCCACAUAAGUGCAGAAAGCAAACA